rnacentral:lncRNA from 1 species
GUAAAGAGUCUAUGACUGUAACAUGGGAGGGGAAAACAGCAUGCCUGAUUGCAGCACCUGCUUGCACAGGUAAACUUAAUCAGAGCGCCAGGUAUCAGCUGAGCUCUGUUCAUCCAGCAGCAAUUAGCCCACCUCAGCUGUGAAGAAUUUAGCUAAACUCAUCAACAGUAUUCUGAGAAGAGGGAUGAUAGGAAAAGCUGUGUUUAGACUUCAUGCCUUACCAGCUGGAGUGGGGGCUGCUGGUGUUGCCUUCUGUCAACAGGGUCUGUGGGGUGACAGUCUGCUUGGAAAGCUCUGCCUCGCUCACAAGCUGAUAAGGAGAAUAUGCCAAGUCAACCAGAUGAGUCAGCACAGGCAACAUAAAGUCUCUCUUCCCCAAGAAUUAACAUCCUCCUUCCAGCUGUGUCCUGCUUUCAAAAGAGAUGUGAAACCAUUCUAGAACUUGAGAUGUGAGUGAUUCCAAGGAGAAGAAGAAACUAGAAACUGCUUCUGCUGUGAUCAUUACGAAUGACUUGUGAAUGAAUGCUCUGGGAUUCUUAACCCCUAUAUGACUUCAGCUGUUGUUCAAGCAUUAAUUCUAUCAGUGCACUGAUUACUUUAUUCACAGUUUGCAGAGAGCUUAUUGAAGCCUGAAGUUUAAGUGAUUUAUUCAAGGUAGUACAUUCAACCAUGCCAGAGCUUGUGUUACAUCCCAGGAGUUCCUUACAAUUAAACUCUUACAAUACUAGGGAAAAGGACAACUGACUGUACAGACAUGUAUUAUACUUGCAAUACUCUGUGAGAAUUAGCUGAAUAUAGUACUGGUCAAUAAUGGUCAAUACUGACCAUUUUCACUCAGUGCUGACAAGAUCCUUUUUCCCUGUUGGCAACGUGGAUGCUAGCAAAGAUGGUGUUCAUUUCUUUGCUGGCACCAGGUGUGGCAGAUCUUGUGAAGAAAAGGCAGUCGCUUGAAAACACACUGCUAUGCUCUACAUAGCAGUACCAGGACUGCCCACUUCUUUGGGAGAUUUCUGGGGACUUCUUUUUUGAAAAUACGGUAAACUGAAUGGAAAAUUCAAUACUAGAAGCAAUAAAAAUGAAGGUAGAAUUCUUCUGUAGAUGAAA